rnacentral:rRNA from 1 species
UACGUAGGGUGCGAGCGUUAAUCGGAAUUACUGGGCGUAAAGAGUGCGUAGGCGGUUCGUUAAGUCAGCUGUGAAAGCCCCGGGCUCAACCUGGGAACUGCGGUUGAAACUGGCGAACUAGAAUCUGGCAGAGGGGGGUGGAAUUCCACGUGUAGCAGUGAAAUGCGUAGAGAUGUGGAGGAACACCGAUGGCGAAGGCAGCCCCCUGGGCCGAGAUUGACGCUCAGGCACGAAAGCGUGGGGAUCAAACAGG